AAUGGGCGCAAGCCUGAUCCAGCCAUGCCGCGUGGGUGAAGAAGGCCUUCGGGUUGUAAAGCCCUUUUGUUGGGAAAGAAAAGCAGCCGGCCAAUACCCGGUUGUUCUGACGGUACCCAAAGAAUAAGCACCGGCUAACUUCGUGCCAGCAGCCGCGGUAAUACGAAGGGUGCAAGCGUUACUCGGAAUUACUGGGCGUAAAGCGUGCGUAGGUGGUGGUUUAAGUCCGUUGUGAAAGCCCUGGGCUCAACCUGGGAACUGCAGUGGAUACUGGAUCACUAGAGUGUGGCAGAGGGUAGUGGAAUUCCCGGUGUAGCAGUGAAAUGCGUAGAGAUCGGGAGGAACAUCAGUGGCGAAGGCGACUGCCUGGGCCAACACUGACACUGAGGCACGAAAGCGUGGGGAGCAAA
rnacentral:rRNA from 1 species